rnacentral:rRNA from 1 species
UACGAAGGGGGCUAGCGUUGUUCGGAAUUACUGGGCGUAAAGCGUGCGCAGGCGGCUGCUCAAGUCAGGGGUGAAAGCCCAGAGCUCAACUCUGGAAUUGCCUUUGAGACUGAGUGGCUUGAGUACGGGAGAGGUGAGUGGAAUUCCCAGUGUAGAGGUGAAAUUCGUAGAUAUUGGGAAGAACACCAGUGGCGAAGGCGGCUCACUGGCCCGGUACUGACGCUGAGGCGCGAAAGCGUGGGGAGCAAACAGG